CCCUGUUGUACUACAAUUGAAAAAAGAAAUGAAGAUGAAGCAAGGGUCUUGUAAAGUUAAGCUAUUCGGAGUAAUAGAGCAGGGUCAAUGCAUGGAAUUAUUAUGGUGCAGUGAGACAGGUAGAGACAGGAAGAUAAUGAAAUGUGGCAUUAGGCAAGUGUCUUGGGGAUGAGAUGUGGCAUGGGAUGAGCGAUAUGACUCAAUGUGUUAUGUCCUAAGUGAGGUGAAAUUUGGAAUAGAG